rnacentral:rRNA from 1 species
UACGCUGGCGGCACGCCUAACACAUGCAAGUCGAACGAGGUAGCAAUACCUAGUGGCAGACGGGUGAGUAACAUGUGGGUAUCUGCCCUUUGGCCUGGAAUAACACGAGGAAACUUGUGCUAAUACCGGAUAAGUCUUUACGGAGAAAGCUUUAUGCACCAUUGGAUGAGCCUGCACUUGAUUAGUUUGUUGGUGGGGUAAUGGCCUACCAAGACUGUGAUCAAUAGCUGAUUUGAGAGGAUGAUCAGCCACAUUGGGACUGAGACACGGCCCAAACUCCUACGGGAGGCAGCAGUGGGGAAUCUUGCACAAUGGAGGAAACUCUGAUGCAGCGAUGCCGCGUGAGUGAAGAAGGCCUUUGGGUUGUAAAGCUCUUUCGUCGGGGAAGAAAAUGACUGUACCCGAAUAAGAAGGUCCGGCUAACU